rnacentral:rRNA from 1 species
GACGAACGCUGGCGGCGUGCCUAAUACAUGCAAGUCGAACGCUGAAGCGAGGAGCUUGCUCUUCUUGGAUGAGUUGCGAACGGGUGAGUAACGCGUAGGUAACCUGCCUGGUAGCGGGGGAUAACUAUUGGAAACGAUAGCUAAUACCGCAUAAAAUUGAUUAUUGCAUGAUAAUUAAUUGAAAGAUGCAACUGCAUCACUACCAGAUGGACCUGCGUUGUAUUAGCUAGUUGGGGAGGUAACGGCUCACCAAGGCGACGAGACAUGGCCGGCCUGGGAGGGUGGGCGGCCACCCUGGGACUGGGACACGGCCCCGGCUCCUACGGGAGGCCACAGGAGGGAAUCUUCGGCAAUUGGGGGAACCCUGACCGGGGGACGCCGCGGGAGUGAAGGAGGUUUUCGGAUCGUUAAGCUCCGUUGUAUGGGAAAGACGGGUGUGAGAGUGGAAAGUUCACGUUGUGACGGUAUCUGACCAGAAAGCGACGGCUAACUACGUG